rnacentral:rRNA from 1 species
CCUACGGGCGGCAGCAGUGGGGUAUAUUGGACAAUGGGGGGAACCCUGAUCCAGCCAUGCCGCGUGUGUGAAGAAGGCCCUCGGGUUGUAAAGCACUUUCAGUGAGGAAGAACGCCUGGUGGUUAAUACCCAUCAGGAAAGACAUCACUCACAGAAGAAGCACCGGCUAACUCCGUGCCAGCAGCCGCGGUAAUACGGAGGGUGCGAGCGUUAAUCGGAAUUACUGGGCGUAAAGCGCGCGUAGGUGGCUUGAUAAGCCGGUUGUGAAAGCCCCGGGCUCAACCUGGGAACGGCAUCCGGAACUGUCAAGCUAGAGUGCAGGAGAGGAAGGUAGAAUUCCCGGUGUAGCGGUGAAAUGCGUAGAGAUCGGGAGGAAUACCAGUGGCGAAGGCGGCCUUCUGGACUGACACUGACACUGAGGUGCGAAAGCGUGGGUAGCAAACAGGAUUAGAUACCCCGGUAGUC